ensembl:lncRNA
GUCAAUAUUUGGCUUCUCGGUGGAAUAGACAUUGAGCUGAUCAUUUAUCGAGGAGUUCAAUAAUAUGUCUGGGAGUGUUGUGUGUUUGUCUGAAGGAGUGGUGUGUGUUUGUCUGAAGGAGUGGUGUGUGUUUGUCUGGGAGUGUUGUGUGUUUGUCUGAAGGAGUGGUGUGUGUUUGUCUGAAGGAGUGGUGUGUGUUUGUCUGAAGGAGUGUUGUGUGUUUGUCUGAAGGAGUGGUGUGUGUUUGGGAGUGUUGUGUGUUUGUCUGAAGGAGUGGUGUGUGUUUGUCUGGGAGUGUUGUGUGUUUGUCUGAAGGAGUGGUGUGUGUUUGGGAGAGUUGUGUGUUUGUCUGAAGGAGUGGUGUGUGUUUGUCUGGGAGAGUGGUGUGUGUUUGGGAGUGUUGUGUGUUUGUCUGAAGGAGUGGUGUGUGUUUGUCUGGGAGUGUUGUGUGUUUGUCUGAAGGAGUGAUGUGUGUUUGUCUGGGAGUGUUGUGUGUUUGUCUGAAGGAGUGGUGUGUGUUUGUCUGGGAGUGUUGUGUAUUAGGGGUUGAGUCAGGGAGCUCUCCAUCUUGUCAGUGUUACCUCCCUGGAGAUGGGUGUCUUAGCCUCCCCCUCACACACAAAUGCGCUGCAUC